GGUUAAGUGACUAAGCGUACAGGGCGGAUGCCUUGGCAAUCAGAGGCGAAGAAGGACGUGCUAAUCUGCGAAAAGCUUGGAUGAGUCGAUAAGAGGCGUUUAAUCCAAGAUGUCCGAAUGGGGAAACCCGAUGGAUGAAGAAUCCAUCAUUUCAUUGUGAAUACAUAGCAAUGAAAGGCGAACCGGGAGAACUGAAACAUCUAAGUACCCCGAGGAAAAGAAAUCAACCGAGAUUCUGUGAGUAGCGGCGAGCGAAAGCGGAAGAGCCAGUAAGUUUUAGCUAGUGUAUUAGAGGAAUUGGCUGGGAAGCCAAAUCAAAGAGGGUGAUAAUCCCGUACUCGAAAAUACGAUAGUGGAACUAAGCUUACGAUAAGUAGGGCGGGACACGAGAAAUCCUGUUUGAAGAUGGGGGGACCAUCCUCCAAGGCUAAAUACUCCUGAUUGACCGAUAGUGAACCAGUACUGUGAAGGAAAGGCGAAAAGAACCCCGGUGAGGGGAGUGAAAUAGAACCUGAAACCCUGUACGUACAAGCAGUAGGAGCGAGGGCAACCUUGUGACUGCGUACCUUUUGUAUAAUGGGUCAGCGACUUAUAUUUUGUAGCGAGGUUAACUGAAUAAGGGAGCCGAAGGGAAACCGAGUCUUAACUGGGCGUUGAGUUGCAAGGUAUAGACCCGAAACCCGGUGAUCUAGCCAUGGGCAGGUUGAAGGUUGGGUAACACUAACUGGAGGACCGAACCGACUAAUGUUGAAAAAUUAGCGGAUGACUUGUGGCUGGGGGUGAAAGGCCAAUCAAACCGGGAGAUAGCUGGUUCUCCCCGAAAUCUAUUUAGGUAGAGCCUUGAGCGGACACCUUCGGGGGUAGAGCACUGUUUCGGCUAGGGGUCCAUCCCGGAUUACCAACCCGAUGCAAACUGCGAAUACCGAAGAGUGAUACUCAGGAGACACACGGCGGGUGCUAACGUUCGUCGUGGAGAGGGAAACAACCCAGACCGCCAGCUAAGGUCCCAAAGUCUAUAUUAAGUGGGAAACGAAGUGGGAAGGCUUAGACAGCUAGGAUGUUGGCUUAGAAGCAGCCAUCAUUUAAAGAAAGCGUAAUAGCUCACUAGUCGAGUCGGCCUGCGCGGAAGAUGUAACGGGGCUCAAAUAUAGCACCGAAGCUGCGGCAUCAG
rnacentral:rRNA from 1 species